rnacentral:lncRNA from 1 species
UUUCAUUUUCAUCUUCCAUUUUCACCUUCUAGAGAGAGAGAUUUUGAAGAAAAAAAGAGAGGAAUUUUAGAGAGAGAAAGAGAAAAUUUUAGAGAGAGAAAAAACAAGAAAGAAAGAGGCAUAAGAGUUUUAAGAGCUUGUUCGAGGAUUACUAAAAAUCCUUUUUGUCCCUUUCUAAAAGAUUAAAUUGACUCAAUUUCAGUAAGAGAUUCUUUAGUAUUUUCUCUUACAUUUUUAAGUACAUUUUUUAGUUAAUUUGGGAUAUUGACAGUUUUGAUACAUGGACUUUUAUGCUUGUUUGGUGAUUGAUUAUUUGAAUAUGAAUAUGCGAGAUAUUAUACAAGAUUGUUGUGCUAUAUAAAAUGACUAUAAUGCAUGAAUUUUUAUGAAGAUUGGUGUUUGUUUAUUUAGAUAGGUGACACGAUAUUAUGAGUAUGAUGACUUGAUGCAUACAUCCUUAGGGUGGUGAAUUAUUGUUUAUUGAAGAGAUAUUGAGCAUGAUGCAUGAAAAUAAAAUGAUUAGAAAUUUCUUAUGGGCUUGAACCUUUGCCUUACCUUGGUGAUGAUGAAGAGAGUUAUUCUAGUGGGUCUUGCCUUGAGAGGAUGACUCGCAGGUCAAACUUUUGGUAAACAUGGGCCUUCAGGCUGGAUAAAUGAAAUGGACCUUUAGGCUGGAUAUGUUGUUGGAUCCCCACUAAAUUCAGAAUAUGAAAAUGAUUAUGCUGAACACGAAAUAUAAAAAAAAAAUAUGGAAUUUAUUGUGAAUAUGGAAUAAAUAAGUGAAAAGAAUGGAAAGUUCAUUUGACUAUUAUCUCUUAGAAGUUUCUGUUUUUCCCUCGUUUGAAUAAAUAUUGGUGAACUAUUCUCUGUGAUGAUCAACGUUCUCACUUACGGGAGUAGAUUUGCAUUAGGAUAUAUGGGGCCACAGUGGCGAUGUACAGUCGUGAUCAAAGUUUAGAUACAAAAAUGGAAUUGACCUAAUAUGGGAGUCGAUGAUUCACAGUGGCAGUCAGGGAUCCCCUCUGCCUUCAUGAAUAUAUGUUGGAAUGAUUUUGCAUGGAGGUCGGUAAAAGAAUUAAUAAAACAUAAACAAGACUUGAAUACUUAUUCGAAACUCUAUAACAAUUUCGUAUGAUGGUUCUUCUACUUAUUUUGAGACUACUAAUAUGCCAUUCAUUUGAUUUUUGUGAAAUAAUUGACAUGUUUGGAUAUGCCUGAUGUAACAUAAUACGCCUCCUUAUGAUAUUGAUUUACCACUUUCUUCGCUAAGCUAUAUAACUGGUUCAUUGGAUUUUCUUAAGAAUGAUAAAUGGUUUUCUAAGUAUUUGAAUGUAUCCAUCUUGCAACAACACUCCGAGGUAAGAAGUUUAUACGGAAAUAUUAUUUUUCUUAAUUACUUUUUAAACUUUAGUUAUAUGGUUUUAAAUGUUAUUUCCUUUACUAAGUUUACAUGAAACUCACCCAUAAUCUGUGGCCCCCAAAUGAUCUGGAAGUUGAGGAUUUAGCUCCCUGAGUUGUCUCUUAAAGCUUGUAUGGGCCCAUUCACAGAUCCUUGGUAAUUUUUUAAGAUAUAAUUUAAGUGUAAUAGUUUGUUCCAUACUCUAAUAUAAUAAUUUGUAAGGACUCUACUUUUUCUAUCUAAUACCCAGAAAUUGCAAAUUUAUGGCCUCUGUUAUAAGUUUUAAACUUAGAUUGCUUGUAAAGGAUUUCUAAUUUUUGCUUCAAUGUUAAACUUAUUUUUAACACUCAUAACUACUUGGUAGUUGGCUUCCUUCUACCCAUUAGGUAUUUGAGAUGUUAUAUUUAUAUUUUAUUUAGCCUUAUUCACGGUUAUAUGCAGGUCUAACCUAAUCUUAAUUGAGAUCAAUAAUCCUAAAUGGGGUCUUAAUCAAGCCUAGAUGAUGAUCAAAUUAAACAAAAAUAAAGUUAAAGUAUUUGUGAGGUUAUUUGAACUUGACCCCUCUAUCUAAUUCCCUUUUGAAUCUCCCAUUCAAAAUAAACUUCCUUGAUGUCAUCUAAAUUUCCAAUAAAUUUUAACUUGAGAUCAAAACUAAAAAUAAAAUUUAGAUAAUAGUAUAGAUUUUCCAUCAUCAUUGGGCACUCAUCUGAUCAGUUAAUCAGCUUGCAAG